GAUGAACGCUGGCGGCGUGCCUAAUACAUGCAAGUCGAGCGAACGGACGAGAAGCUUGCUUCUCUGAUGUUAGCGGCGGACGGGUGAGUAAAACGUGGAUAACCUACCUAUAAGACUGGGAUAACUUCGGGAAACCGGAGCUAAUACCGGAUGAUAUUUUGAACCGCAUGGUUCAAAAGUGAAAGACGGUCUUGCUGUCACUUAUAGAUGGAUCCGCGCUGCAUUAGCUAGUUGGUAAGGUAACGGCUUACCAAGGCAACGAUGCAUAGCCGACCUGAGAGGGUGAUCGGCCACACUGGAACUGAGACACGGUCCAGGCUCCUACGGGAGGCAGCAGUAGGGAAUCUUCCGCAAUGGGCGAAAGCCUGACGGAGCAACGCCGCGUGAGUGAUGAAGGUCUUCGGAUCGUAAAACUCUGUUAUUAGGGAAGAACAUAUGUGUAAGUAACUGUGCACAUCUUGACGGUACCUAAUCAGAAAGCCACGGCUAACUACGUG
rnacentral:rRNA from 1 species